AGAGUUUGAUCCUGGCUCAGAUUGAACGCUGGCGGAAUGCUUUACACAUGCAAGUCGAACGGCAGCACGGGGGCAACCCUGGUGGCGAGUGGCGAACGGGUGAGUAAUACAUCGGAACGUGCCCAGUCGUGGGGGAUAACUACGCGAAAGCGUAGCUAAUACCGCAUACGAUCUAAGGAUGAAAGCGGGGGACCGUAAGGCCUCGCGCGAUUGGAGCGGCCGAUGGCAGAUUAGGUAGUUGGUGGGGUAAAGGCUCACCAAGCCGACGAUCUGUAGCUGGUCUGAGAGGACGACCAGCCACACUGGGACUGAGACACGGCCCAGACUCCUACGGGAGGCAGCAGUGGGGAAUUUUGGACAAUGGGCGCAAGCCUGAUCCAGCCAUUCCGCGUGCAGGAUGAAGGCCCUCGGGUUGUAAACUGCUUUUGUACGGAACGAAAAGGCUCCUUCUAAUACAGGGAGCUCAUGACGGUACCGUAAGAAUAAGCACCGGCUAACUACGUGCCAGCAGCCGCGGUA
rnacentral:rRNA from 1 species